UACAGAGGUCUCAAGCGUUGUUCGGAUUCAUUGGGCGUAAAGGGUGCGUAGGCGGCGCGGUAAGUCGGGUGUGAAAUCUUGGAGCUUAACUCCGAAACUGCAUUCGAUACUGCCGUGCUUGAGGACUGGAGAGGAGACUGGAAUUUACGGUGUAGCGGUGAAAUGCGUAGAUAUCGUAAGGAAGAACCAGUGGCGAAGGCGGGUCUCUGGACAGUUCCUGACGCUGAGGCACGAAGGCCAGGGGAGCAAACGGG
rnacentral:rRNA from 1 species